UUCAACCCCUUAUGAAGUUCGUGUUAUGUGUUGGACACGGUUUUGCCAUUGAUUUAUGGUUUAUUGCCUAAUCUUUAAGGGUUUUUUUUAUCUAAUUGAUUGAUUUUUCUAGAGUUUUUGAAUGAUGGUGAGGGGUAAUCUUCAAUUCUUUUUACUUAAUCCACACGUUUUGGAGAGAGUUAAAAUUUUCAUGUCUUAAAGAUUUGUAACGUAACCCUUAGCUAGGUUGAUCUCUUAUUGAAUGGACUUUUUGUAGGGUAUGAAGAUUAGCGGAAGAUGAUCUUCAAUUCAUAGAAAAAAUUCACCCAAUUUGAGAUCCACUUACAGGUUACAUUAGGAAUCUUUAACCCAUGGAAUAAUUUUCUUUAACUAAAUAGUAUGAAUUUCCUAAAGAGUGUGGAUCUUUUAUAGGAUUUAAAGAUUUGUGUGUUAUAGUCUUCAAUCUCUGGUGAAACUUGUGUCAUUGGGUUGGACCCAAUUUGCCAUUGAUUUAUGAAUUAUUGCCUAAUUUUCAGGGGUUUGUACACCUUUUUCUUAAUUAUAAAAUUUUUCAUCAUUUUGUUCACUUGAGUCACUUCAACUGGGGCUUUUGUUAGAGAGAAAAAUUGGAUGUGAAAUACUUGCACGAGGGUUAACCUUCCUCAUUUGGGAAGGAGGCCUAAAUUUUUUAUUACCACCAAGGUAAAAUUCCAAGUAGUUAAAAGGGAAGGAUUCCACUUUACAUCCGAUCCUCUUGAGCCCAAGAAGACUGCUUUACUAGGUUGGUAUUAACACCUAUAACAGAUGUUUUGAAACAUUCAAAGACAGACUAGAACCCAUGUAAAAACCUACUUACAUUUUCCUGUCAACAAGAAAUAUAUUUUUCUUUGGUAUGUUUCAGUUUCCAUGUUCAUCAUCUCCUUAGAAUCGUGUUUUCUCUUGUGCUUCAAAUAGUGUCUAAGAUUUAUUUCCAUUAGGUAUGUUUCCAUUUCAAUAUUCUUCAAUGUCUCAAUAUUCAUAAUAGCAUAUGCCCUUUUUUUCUUCCUUCCUAAUUUAUUUACCAGUUGAAGUUUUGUUGCAGUCUUAUUUGUAUUGGAUAAAUAUGAGGGAUAUUUAUGUAUAAUAUUCUACUUCGAAGCUACUCAAUCAGUCAAGGUAGCAUGUUCUUCAUUUCGGUUAAAUCUUUUUCUCAGAGGUAAAAAGAUAAUGUUAUGGGCUUUCUCUUUUGCAUUUUGUUGGGAUAUUGAUGUUGGCCGUUGGAAUUUUUGUCCAACCCUCAAAACAUAUUUUCUCCGAAAUUUUUAUUUCGCUCUCUUAAAUUUUUUAUUCCAGCCUCUUUUCUUCCUUUGAAAUUUUGUCCAUUUCUUAAACUGUUGCUUUGAAUAAUUUUUCCUCUUACUGAACUUUUUGUUGUAUGAUUUUUUAAAAGAUGUGAGGUGAGUUAAGGAAAAUUAAUUGAUCGGAAAUUUCCUAUUUCACCUUAUUGCCUACGCUAAUUUUAUUGGAAGUUAAAUUUUUAUUUUCCAUGUCGACAAAAUGAGAUUUAUACAUUCUCGCAAUCAAAUUUACCACUAGUAAGUCCCUUUUGGGACAUCCGAUAAAGAAUUUACCAUUAGUAAGUAAUCAUACUGUCUUAGCUUUUAACAUUGUGUUUCAGAUGGAUGAUGGUUGAAUAAACGGUGCUUUGUGUUCGGGGAACAAGGUUAUUUUUUCGAAUUUACCCUUAGUUUAGUUUUAUAUGAUACAUCUUAGCAUUUGACAUUGUGUUUCAGAUGGAUUAUGGUUGAUAAACAAACCUACUGGUUCUUCGUGUUCGGGGAACAAGAUUAUUUUGUUCGAGGUCUGUUGCAGUUUGAGGGCUUCUUAUAAUUGCAAAUAAUUGGGAGUCAAUUAGGCAAAUAUGGAUCAGUAUGCAACUCUUCCCAGUUUGCUGUAUUCUUUUAUUGGUUUCAUUGCCUGCAAACUUUAUUUGAGGGUGGUGUGGCACUAACUCAGAUAUGUGAUGGUGGAAGAACAAAGAUUCAUUUGACUACAGAUUUGCAGGGUCCAGUAACUCUUUUAUGUGGUUUAUCUAGAACAAAUGUUGGACACUGCCUCACUGGUUCAGUUUCAUUGAGCAAGGCUGCUGAACCACAGGUUAUAUCCGUUAUUAAAUGUAAGAUUAAAGAGGGUGUCUUUGUUAGUUUAUC